GCGUGGUUGGUUUGCGUUUGGUUUGGAUGGGUUGCGUUUGUGUUGAGUGUGGAUGGUUUGUGUUGGGCGUGGUUGGUUUGUGUAGGCGUAUUUGGUUUGUGUUGGGCGUGGUUGUUUUGCGUUGGGCGUGGUUGGUUUGUGUUGGGCGUUUUUGGUUUGUGUUUGGCCUGGUUGUUUAGUGUUGGGCGUCAUUGUUUUGUGUUGGGCGUGGUUGGUUUGUGUUGGGCGUGGUUGGUUUGUGUUGGGCGUGGUUGUUUUGUGUUGGGCGUGGCUGGUUUGUGUUGGACGUGGUUGUUUUGUGUUGGGCUUGGUUGGUUUGUGUUGUGCGUGGUUGGUUUGUGUUGGGCGUGGUUGGUUUGUGUUGGGCGAGGUUGGUUUGUGUUGGGAUUGGUUGGUUUGUGUUGGGCGGGGUUGGUUUGUGUUGGGCGUGGUUGGUUUGUGUUGGGCGUGGUUGUUUUGUGUUGGGCGUGGUUGGUUUGUGUUGGGCGUGGUUGUUUUGUGUUGGGCUUGGUUGGUUUGUGUUGAGUGUGGUUGGUUUGUGUUGGGCGAGUUUGGUUUGUGUUGGGCAUGGUUGUUUUGUGUUGGGUGUGGUCGGUUUGUGUUAGGCGAGGUUGAUUUGUGUUGUGCGAGGUUAGUUUGUGUUGGGCGACCUUGGUUUGUGUUG
ensembl:lncRNA